rnacentral:rRNA from 1 species
UACAGAGGUGGCAAGCGUUGUUCGGAAUUACUGGGCGUAAAGGGCGCGUAGGCGGCCUUCUAAGUCAGACGUGAAAUCCCCCCGGCUUAACCUGGGAACUGCGUCUGAUACUGGGAGGCUUGAGUAUGGGAGAGGGAUGUAGAAUUCCAGGUGUAGCGGUGAAAUGCGUAGAUAUCAGGAGGAACACCUGUGGCGAAAGCGGCUCACUGGACCAUAACUGACGCUGAUGCACGAAAGCUAGGGGAGCAAACAGG